UUGUAAAACAUAAAUAGGGAGUCGAACCUGCCCAGUGAAAUUUUUCAACGGCCGCGGUACUCUGACCGUGCAAAGGUAGCAUAAUAAUUUGCCUUAUAAUUGAAGGCUAGUAUGAAUGGUUUGACGAGAAUACAACUGUCUCUUUUCAAUUACAGCGAAAUUGAUUUUCGGGUGAAGAAGCCCGGAUAAAAUUAAAAGACAAGAAGACCCUAUCGAGCUUAAAACAAAUUAAUAGAAAAGGGAUUAAUAUACUCUAAAAAACUAACUAUUAAAAAUUUUAGUUGGGGCGACUAAGGAACAGAAAAAGCUUCCUUUGUAACUAUUAGCAUUCAAGCAGUGAUCCAGAACUCUGAUUAACGAAAUUAGUUACCGUAGGGAUAACAGCAUUAUCUUUUUUAAGAGCUCUAAUCGAAAAAAAGGUUUGUGACCUCGAUGUUGGACCAGAAUAUCCUGAAGAUGCAGAAGUCUUCAAGGGUUAGUCUGUUCGACUAUUAAAAUUCUA
rnacentral:rRNA from 1 species